CCUACGGGAGGCAGCAGUGGGGAAUAUUGCACAAUGGGGGAAACCCUGAUGCAGCGACGCCGCGUGAGUGAAGAAGUAUUUCGGUAUGGAAAGCUCUAUCAGCAGGGAAGAAAAUGACGGUACCUGAUUAAGAAGCCCCGGCUAACUACGUGCCAGCAGCCGCGGUAAUACGUAGGGGGCAAGCGUUAUCCGGAUUUACUGGGUGUAAAGGGAGCGUAGACGGCAGCACAAGUCUGGAGUGAAAUGCCGGGGCUUAACCCCUGAACUGCUUUUGAAACUGUGCAGCUAGAGUGCAGGAGAGGUAAGUGGAAUUCGUAGUGUAGCGGUGAAAUGCGUAGAUAUUAGGAGGAACACCAGUGGCGAAGGCGGCUUACUAGACUGUAACUGACGUUGAGGCUCGAAAGCGUGGGGAGCAAACAGGAUUAGAUACCCCGGUAGUC
rnacentral:rRNA from 1 species